rnacentral:rRNA from 1 species
GGACAAUCCAAUAGUGCGGGUAAGCAGACUGCCUAGAAAAUCCGCUAAACAUAACUUCAGAGGUACCCGUACCGCAAACGGACACACGUAGUCGGGUUGAAUAUACUAAGGCGCUUGAGUGAAUCACGGUUAAGGAACUAGGCAAACUGACCCUGUAACUUCGGGAUAAAGGGUCCCGGCGCAAGCCGGGCGCAGAGAAUAGGUCCAGGCAACUGUUUAACAAAAACACAGGGCUGUGCAAAAUUGAAAGAUCAAGUAUACAGCCUGACACCUGCCCGGUGCUGGAAGGUUAAGAGG